CCACCUUGUGAGGUCUCUUUGGUCCCUUUCAUGUGAUCUUCGAUGACUUCAUAUUAGUCCCUAACCUCCAUUUACUGAAGUACUUGGCCGAGCCAUCUGACUCAUCACCCUGUACAAGGACAGUGUGACUCACACCAAUAAGCCGGAAGCAGGCCUGAAUCGAGGCAAGGCUAGAGUCAGGACACAACUAAUAGAUGCUGGAAGUGUUGACGGAAACCACUGUUGCAGAGGAACAAUGCGGGCUGAGCUUCAGUCCCCGGCUAUGACAUCAUGACCGAGAGCUCAGGACCCUGCUCAGAGUCCACAAUGCUACCCUCAGCUGGAUGCUGGCCAGAGCACAGCAAAAGGAUGCGUAACAUGUCACACGAUUCAACCUCUUCACUCGCUGUGCAAAUUUGUUUUUGUCCUCCACCACCCACUUCCACCAUGAUGUUCUGCCUCACCUCAAGCCCAGAACAUUGAAGAUGACGGGCCAGGGGCUGAAUCUCUGAAACAAAUCGGUUCCAAACAGUCAAGCCUGCCAGAAAAAACAGACAAACUCUCAAGAACAACAAUGCCUAUUAUGUGUGGUGGAGGAGCCGCCAGAUUUUGAUUACCGGCCAGACAUUAACUCCUUUGGUGUCUCAUGCAAGAAAUGCCAAGUCUGAAUCCAGAUAUUUUUCAGAAUAGCAUGAGAUCUGCAAUUUACAGUGUCUUCUGAAAAAAAAAAAGGCAACUGAGAGAAGGUAGUGCAAGUUAAAGACCACAUCUCCUGGUUUCUCGAAUUCUGCCAUGACUCUUCCUGGUAAACGGACAGACUGAGUACCUGUGCUCUUCCUUUUUCAGGCCUUAGGUUGUGGGCCAGAAGCAUGUUACUGUACCCACCUGUCCCACCUGUGUUGUCUUGAUGUCUAAAGGACUGUUGAAUUCUGCUGCCAUCGAGAAAAUGCGUGGAUUCCUGGAGGCCACCUCUUACAGUAAAACUGUGAGAAAGAAGAAUCCUUGCAAACUCUGUGAUCAGCAUCCCCUCCCAUCCCCCCAUAGACUCCCUGAAGGCUGUCAGACUCCAUCCUGCUUUGAGAUCUCGGAUAAAGCAGAGAGCAAUGCGAUUUUCAGAGGGAGGAUGAUAAUAUAAGUAUUUAGACCAUCGUGUGUGUGUAUAUCCUACGUGUGUAUAAAUACUGAAUAUUUAUUUUAGUAUUUCAUUUGUUCUUUCAUUUACUCUUUAAUACAUAUUUACGGAGAGUCCUCUGUGCGGUGGAUGUGGAUAACCAAGUAAGGUAGAAUCACAAUGUCUACCUUUUAGCCAGAUCUUAUUGCAUAUCAGCAUUGUGUUAAACAUUUUACAUUCAAAUGCAUGAAUGCACUUAAUCCUUAAAAAAAACAAAACAAAACAAAAACAAAAACAAACCUUGAAGAAACAGCUCUAUUUUACAUCUUAGUAAAUGGACUCCCAGAAAACUCAAGGGCACACAUGUAGUCAAUAUCAGAGUAGGAUGCACAUACAGGUAUGUUUGAUGCAAAAUGCAUUUCCCUAUUUACUUUGAUGUUGUCUUCCCAAAGAUGAAUCAAAAGAUAAAACCACAUUAACUUUCUUUCUCGGAAUUCCCCUUCUGUUUGGUGAGGAAAGAAACGCAUGUGAUCGAAUUCUGUUGAAGGGGGGAGAAGGUAGGAGAGGGUAGAGAAGCCUCUGUGGCUGGAAAUUCACUCAGCAGAGGGAAAGAGAGAGAGAUUUUGGCUGAGUGUGUCUUUGUUGGGUUAUCAAGAGAACUGAACUCACCCAGAGGCAGAGAUAUUUCUGGCUCAAAGAGUAAUUCUGUCACACAGAAUGGAGGGACUGGUCAGUGGGAAAUCCUUUAAGGCUGUUUCUCCACUUAAUUGCCCUUAUCUUUUCCUUCUUUUCAUUCUUAGGUUAUUUCCAGUCCUUACUAAAAGAGGACGCAGGGAGACUGUGAACUCAGCCAGGUGGAAGUGAUAACGAUUUUAGAGAAACCACAGGAGAAGGAAAAGCUCCUCCAACCAUCUUCUCACUACCACAAUGGGACCCGUACGGAUUAACUCUUUCAAGGAUGGAAAUAAAAAUGCAAGUUUUAGGUAGGUUUUAGUGUUGUGUGGAGGGAAAAACAAGGACUGAUCUAUUUGGUUCUCUUCACUUGAUUCACCCUGAAGGGCUUGCUGCCCUAAAGAUAAGUGGACAGAUGAAGAAAAGUAGUGUCCCCAGAUACCCCCAUGAAGCCAAUGCUCUCUGAAAGGAAGCAGCCACACAUUCAGCCCAGGGAGAACUUUUUGCAUCCAGGAGAGUGAUUUGGGUCAAAGGAAAGGAGAACAGUGACAUUACUGCCAGACUGCUUCUCUAACUAAGCCUUUAGCUCUUCUGUUCAGGACAAAUGGGAAUCCGCCAGCAUAGAUGUGACCUGUCCUGUCUGCUGGCAACCACAGUAUCAUAAUUCACUGGAGUUUCACUUUAAGAAUUUUAAGAAUUACCUGUGAGAUUUUGAGGGUCAAUAUUUUAGACUAUCAUCACUAUUGGACUAUUCAUUUGAAUACUUCUGGGGUUUAUGCCUCUUUUCAAAAGAAAUAUUGGGCUUCCCUAUAUUCAUUACAAAGUCUUUCUAGUCUUCAAAUCCUCCUGUAAAGUGUCUCUUCUCUAGUCUUUUAAGUGUACCGUAUGACUGAAUAUGAUGAUGGGAUAUUUACAUGUAUCCUUGUCUAUUGUGUCAAAGAUCAUUAAAAAAAAAAAAAGCCUGUCGUUAAAGCCCCCAAGUGAUUGGAUUGGCAUGAGGAACAGGAAUGGGGCUGGCGUGGAAGAGAGGAUCUGACUCUGGGAUUUCAUGAAAUCCAAAACAAUAGGACAGCUGCUUUUCCAUAAACAGAUUAUUAUUAUUAUUUCUACCUAGACAGCUUGAUAGCAGCCAUUAUCUUCUUUCUGGGUGUCUUAUCAAGUUCCGGCUGUGUGCAGCAUGGGCGAUAAGGAAUGAGGAAUGUCACCCAUGGGAUUGCCAAGGAUUAUUUCUAUGCACUGCUGGUCAGCAACGGCCAGGCCCUCAAAACUGAAAAGGAGCCCUAUUGUUCAUGCGGGCAGUUGCUAUUCUGACGACACCAAGAGAGCAGAAGGAGGAUGUAUUUGCCAUUGUGUGUAAGAUUGAAAUUUCAUGACUCUCAGCUAAAGUUCAAGCGGUCUUGAUUUUGAAAAGCAUAGUCAUUGUGGAAUAUCUUUGAAGAGGGAGAAGACAAGGGGAGGAAAGAAGAAUGAAAUGAGUUCAGAGCUCUUCAGAACUAUGAGAGAGCAUAAAGAAAGAAGAGAGGUGUAACACUCUCAAACACUGGAACUUAAAAUGCUAGGCAUCCGGGCCUCAGAGGAAUUGAGCAGCAUCCCAUAACCAUGACUUGUGCUCUAGUUGCUUAAUGUAAAGACUCCAGGCUUCAUUACUCAUCAGAAAAUAGCCAAUUUGCUGGAUUUCUGUUUCAUUGUCUCAGUUUCAUCCCAAAUUCUUGAACACAAUCAAUCUGUUGAUAUUAAAUUUUUUUUUCCUUUUCUCUUCAAUGAAGAAAUGAAUAUUUUAUUAGAGAAAUGCUGGCUCUGAAUGUUAGAGAAAAAAAAAUAGGAUCUCUUUGAAUUUUUAUUUCAGCAUUAGAGCUUCUCAACCUUUUAUCUUCUUAGAGAAAAGACUGCAUUAGAAGAAUAUGAAAACUCAAACGUACAACGAACCCACACUAUGUUCAUAUAGAAUUCCCCCAAAGGGUUCUGAGUGCUUCAGCCUUCUUGGUGCGCAGUUUUAGGGUCAUGCUGACAGUAUAAUGUAAGCCGCUUGGAAGUGGGCCAAAUCAAAUUUUUCCAACAUUUUAAAAUCGCUCUUCUGAAAGUGGAAUUUCAAAUGAAUAAAAUACUUUGCUCUUAUAUCAAUAGCUUCAGAAAAAAAAAAAGAACCCAGUCACAGAAUCAUUAAGAUGAAGCC